UCUGAGAGAGCUGGACCUGAGUUACAACAACAACCUGAAGGAUCCAGAUGUGAAGCUGCUGUCUGAUCUUGUGGAGAGUCCACACUGUAGACUGGAGACUCUGAGCUGGAAGUGAUCUCAGUCAGACAGUGAGCGGUGAGGAAGGAGGUUGUGUUGGAGGAUCCGCUGUGUCCUGAUGAUCCAGAGAGGUUGAAGCAGCAGCAUCAGCUCUGACUGGGCCAUGUUACUGGGAGGUAGAGUGGAGAGGAGAGCUUCAUCCAGCAGUGACUGACAGAGGAAUCACAACCAGUGGAGACGACUCUCAGUGCUGCAGUCUGAACUGCUCUGAGAUCAGCUCCCUGUGUGUUCCUCUGGAUCAUGUGACAGAGUAUCAUCAGUGUAUCUGGAGCUGCUGCUGCUGCUGCUCUGUCCGUCUACAGUCUCUGCAGACACACUGAGACUGCUCCACCUGGACCUGGACCUGGACCUGGAGUUCAUUCAGAUCUACAGAACCCAAAGUGACUCUGAAGAUUAGUUGUGUUUAUGACAACAUAACAGUAAAUGUAUUUUAUUCUCAGUGAAAUCAUAUUAUCAUUACAGUUCUGUAUAAUCACAGAGGAACAGAACAAUAAGUAAAACACAGAUCAAUUAAAGAAUAUAUUCUUCAAAAAA